rnacentral:rRNA from 1 species
GACGAACGCUGGCGGCGUGCUUAACACAUGCAAGUCGAACGGAAAGGCCCUGCUUUUGUGGGGUGCUCGAGUGGCGAACGGGUGAGUAAAACGUGAGUAACCUGCCCUUGACUUUGGGAUAACUUCAGGAAACUGGGGCUAAUACCGGAUAGGAGCUCCUGCUGCAUGGUGGGGGUUGGAAAGUUUCGGCGGUUGGGGAUGGACUCGCGGCUUAUCAGCUUGUUGGUGGGGUAGUGGCUUACCAAGGCUUUGACGGGUAGCCGGCCUGAGAGGGUGACCGGCCACAAUGGGACUGCGAUACGGCCCAGACUCCUACGGGAGGCAGCAGUCGGGAAUAUUGCACAAUGGGCGGAAGCCUGAUACAGCAACGCCGCGUGCGGGAUGACGGCCUUCGGGUUGUAAACCGCUUUCGCCUGUGACGAAGCGUGAGUGACGGUAAUGGGUAAAGAAGCACCGGCUAACUACGUG